GCGUACAAAGUGCAUUUUAUAUCGACUAUAACUAAACAUGAAAUAUCGAUGUACUGUAACUGAUCACUAUCCAUUCAGAGUUUUGCUUCCAGGAAGGGCAAUAUGGUUACACAAGAAUGAUACAACAGAAUACUAAUAACCCAAGGCUGGUUUUGGGAUGACCGAAUAAACUCUGCACUUCAGAUGUUAUCUCAAGUUUGUGGUUAUGUCUAUUAGCUUGCCCACCCCCAAAAUUUAGCAAAAACCAGAAGUACAUAUUAAAGAACAGGACUCUCAUCGACCUCCUACCCUCGAGAUAGCACUGUGAUCUUGCAGCAGAUGCAAAGGAAAAAGCUGUUUGCUUUAACGCUGGAAAUGAGCCUAAUCCUCCAUUUGAUCCUCACCAGGCAGCCCGAAUAUUCUUAGAUUACGGUCCAUAGAUCCGACAGCUAUAUAUGCUGCAUCUGGACCAAAUUUCAGACAUGUUGCUUUGCCUGUGCCUGAUAAGUCGGGGAAGGUUUUGAUGGAAUUCCAUUCAGCCUUGACGCUGGCGACUUGAUAAACUCGUAUAUCUGAGCCUCCUAAGGCAAGAUAACUUCCACUAUGGUCAAAUUCCACUGAUUGAGUUGGUGUGUUAUCAUCGUAAGGAGCGAAAGUUUUGAAGUUCUUCAAUUUGCGUAAAUCCCAAAGUUUAACACCAUCAUGAGCAGCAGUUGCUAAGAAAUAACCAUUUUCUGAAAAGGAAAUGGCAGUUACAGACCCAACAUGGCCAUCAAAUUUUGCAACAUUUGCCUGACUUUUUACAUCCCAUAUCUUGACCAAAGACCCUGAAGUCCCUGUUCCAAGGAUCAGACCAUCAGGGUGGAAAGCUGCAGAAGUAUAGCCCUCAGAUUCUGAAGCAUCUGCUACCUGUGUAAGGCAUAAACCAGAAGCAAGAUCAUAAAAGCACCACGUGCUAUCAAGAGAAGCAGUAACAAAAUAAUUAUUGGUUGCAUGGACAGUGACAGCUUGCACCUCUGCAGUAUGAUCCUUCAAGACAUGCCUACAGUCAUAAUUUCCAUUUUCGGAACUUUGCCACACACGAACUGUCUUAUCUGCUGAACCAGAGACCACUAGUUCACCCUCAGCCGCAAAUUUAACACUGGUAACCCUCUUUGAAUGACCACUUAGUGUUGAUAUGAUCUGUCCUGAAGGUCGAUCAAAGACCACAGCGUUUGAAUCGACUCCACCAGUAGCAAUUAUGUCCUUAGCAUAGUGAAUAUCCAGAGACAAAAUGCCCGGCUUGUUGGUUUUGUGAAGGGGAAAACUAUUCAGUUGGGUAUAUCUCGCCACAGCAUCCACAGGGGCCAAUGUUGCGGGUAUCUGUCGUUUUUUCCUUUGUUGUGAAAGACCAGCAUUACAUUCAGUAAGAGUCUCAAUGACAGAGUGUGAUAUCCCAGGGCGAAUUUUCUUUCCAUCAGGGCCCACAUCCUCAUCCUCGGCAACUCUUUUCCCGUUGCUUACAGCAGUAGUGCCAACUGCUGUAGUGGCUGCCAUGGGUAUUUGUCUUUCAGCCUGGGCAAGUAACCCCCUUGCCUCAUCCCUUUCCUUUUUCAGCCUUGCAAUUACCCUGCAAGCAGCAUCAUGCUGAUAUAAAGCAUGGCUCAGCUCUUGCCUUGCAGUAUGCAAUUGUUGUUCCAAUGCAAAAUUUGACAGCAUCAGACCAUCCCAUUCUAUUUGGAACAUUCCCAACAUCCCAGGAAUGCUAGCAGCCUGUACAGGUCGGGGUUUAACUAUCUUGCCAGUUUUAACAGGGAUGAUGUCAUCUGCCGUCAAUGGCUCUCCAGUAAUAGGACAUUUGCCAUAAUCAGAGAUAUGUCUUUCAAUUAAACGCUUCUCGAAAAGGAGUCCGGACUUCUUCGAAACUACUGGAUCCUCCGGCACCUCGCCGGAAAUUGAACAGUUCAUUGUUGAAAGAGAGAGAAAGGCAAAGAGGUAGAGCUAGGGUUUAAGCAGCACAAAAGGAGCUGAUGCAG
rnacentral:misc_RNA from 1 species